rnacentral:rRNA from 1 species
AGUGAACGCUGGCGGCAGGCCUAAUACAUGCAAGUCGAACGGCAGCACAGCAGAGCUUGCUCUGUGGGUGGCGAGUGGCGGACGGGUGAGGAAUACAUGGGAAUCUGCCCAGUCGUGGGGGAUAACGUAGGGAAACUUACGCUAAUACCGCAUGCGCCCUUCGGGGGAAAGCCGGGGACCUUCGGGCCUGGCGCGAUUGGAUGAGCCCAUGUCGGAUUAGCUAGUUGGCGGGGUAAAGGCCCACCAAGGCGACGAUCCGUAGCUGGUCUGAGAGGAUGAUCAGCCACACUGGAACUGAGACACGGUCCAGACUCCUACGGGAGGCAGCAGUAGGGAAUAUUGGACAAUGGGCGCAAGCCUGAUCCAGCCAUGCCGCGUGAGUGAAGAAGGCCCUCGGGUUGUAAAGCUCUUUUGUACGGAACGAAAAGACUCCUUCUAAUAAAGGGGGUCCAUGACGGUACCGUAAGAAUAAGCACCGGCUAACUACGUGCCAGC